AUCUAGCUGACGAGUCGCAAAUAGGACGAAACUUGAGUCUUGCAU
rfam:Schistosoma mansoni strain Puerto Rico chromosome W, complete genome